ACGGAAGGCAGCAGUGAGGAAUAUUGGUCAAUGGGCGAGAGCCUGAACCAGCCAAGUAGCGUGAGGGAUGACUGCCCUAUGGGUUGUAAACCUCUUUUGCGCGGGGGUAAAGUCGGGGACGUGUCCCCGAUUGCAAGUAUCGUGCGAAUAAGGAUCGGCUAACUCCGUGCCAGCAGCCGCGGUAAUACGGAGGAUCCGAGUGUUAUCCGGAUUUAUUGGGUUUAAAGGGUGCGUAGGCGGGACGUCAAGUCAGUGGUGAAAUGGUGCGGCUCAACCGUAGCAUCGCCGUUGAAACUGGGGUCCUUGAGUGCGAAUGAGGUACGCGGAACGUGUCAUGUAGCGGUGAAAUGCAUAGAUAUGACACAGAACACCGAUUGCGAAGGCAGCGUACUGGGACGCGACUGACGCUGAGGCACGAAAGUGCGGGGAUCGAACAGGAUUAGAUACCCUGGUA
rnacentral:rRNA from 1 species